UCAAUUUAGGAUGUUUAGCUAAUACAAGCCUAUAUAUCCUGGUAGAAAAUAUGGGUCGUAUAAAUUAUGGGGCAUAUAUUUUUGACCGAAAAGGAAUACUAUCUCCUAUUCAAAUAGAU